CGGUGAUCUGAGUAAUGUAACUGAACCAAGCUCCCGUAUGUUGCAUCUUUUUGCAGCCAGGCUUGUUUUGACAGCACCCAACACCCCUGUAGCUACCCUGAAGUACCUGAAGAUAACAUUUCUCUUCUUCGAAGGAGGACAUAGCACUAUCUAACAUGGAAUGGAGCGACUUGAAGAGAGAAAACAGGACAGAGAGCAAUGGGUGCACCAUUAAGAAAUAGCCUCUAAACUACAUCUGACAAUAGCCAAGAUUGCACCUGAACCCAAUUCAUCGAGGUAAAGUGGCCAUUUGAGGAGAUGUGGUAGGGAAUUGGUGAUCCUGGAUUGAGAUAGGGGAAUACAGAGAGUGGUGUCAAAUGCUGCCAGUUUGUCGAAGCUGCUGGAGACUCAGAAAUAUGCACAAGGUGUCCUCUGGCAUCAAUAUUCGAUGACAAUGGACUCAUAGGAGUGUUUCCUUUUUAAAAGACAGUGGAGACAUGGUGGCAACAUUAGUUACAGGACUUUCCUCCAUGAGACUAAGGUGCAGUGGAGACAGACAGGAAAGGAGGGAGAAGAGUUGGGGGAAGACAUGCAGCAAAGGGCCGUGAGCAGGAAUCGAACUCAGGCCACUGCGUCAGGGACCAGCCCCUGUGCAUGGGUCGCCCGCUUAACCCGUUGAACUAUCCUGGUGCCAUUCAGAGAGAAAUUCUAACAUGUCCUCAAACCUAAACAGCAGAAACAGUAGACCAUCACUGACUCCCAGAACGACAUAUACAAGUGCAAAAAUCUGCACACAUUUUUGCAGUUGAGGUGUUAUACAGACCAACAAAGCCUGCAUUUGGAGGAGGUUUUAGCAUAAGGCAAUCACAGGACAUUCACUCAGGUGAGGGGUUGUGUUCAAAGAUUGUGCAUGCACUUAUUCAUGUGAUUGCAGGAGAUUUCCUUGAAGUCAACCAGUAUUGUUUUUGUUUUUCUGGUCCAGUCAGGCUGAACAAUAGAUACAUUGCAAGUGAAUGCAAAAUUCUUUAACAUGAUUUAUGAUGGGCUGCACAGUGGCUUGACUAGCACCGUUGCCUCAGAGCUAGAAGAUCCCUGAUUCGCAAUCUUGGUUUGGGACUGGAACCAGGCCGGGACUGAUUUAGGGCUUUCGCUGGGAUAGGUUCCAGUCCUCCCACGACCUUAAUGAGGAUUAUGCGAUGUAUAGAUAACGGAUGGAUGUUUUAUGAUAAAGGUUUAAUUGUAGCUCAGACAACAAUCCACACUCAAAAAGUGACCCACAAAUGCAAUGCAGCACAUAUUCAGUGUAGUGGAAUCUGUCCACUUCACAGAAGUUUUAUUAAGGUCUAAGAUUUGAUAACAAUUUUUAGCGAAAUAUUAGGGUUUUAGCAAAUUUUUAAGUGUUUAUUUAAGGUUAAGGGACCUUUCUGUGUAAUGGUUUUAACAAUAAGCAUCACAUAAAAGUUUAGGAACAAUUGUGGUCAAGGAAUUGUUGAUUGAUGGUAGGUGAAAAAUUGAAUAACAAUCUGGAAUAUGUUAAUUGGAUGUAGUGUUCCAUUUGGAGGACUUUGCUGAAUCGCCUGUCACUUUCGUUUGGAGGACAGUUUACUAGUGUCAGUAUGCUGAGUUGAGACAAAAUAAGAUAAAGAGCAAAAAUAAUAAAAUGCUUUUUCUGUACUUGGUGAUUACAGUCAAGAAAUUCCUGAGACAUGCUACAUUUGGAACCACUAUAAUUACCUCACACUUCGAGGAUUUCAUGUCUUUUGUCAAAUUCCAAACAAGAUUGUGAUGCAUGGUGUUUGUUGCCCACCACCAUUUCCCAUGCUCCCCCAUGGCUCACUUACUAUACUUUAACUUGAAUACAGAGAAAUUUGCAUCCUCUGCUGCAGCAUAGUUUGUAUAUACCUGCAUCUGAAAAGAAUAUAUAUAUGAUUAAAGGAUGUGGAAAAUUAUAUGGCAGGCUUUGAAACUUUUCUCCCCAAUUCUUUCUUUUUGCUUCACCCCUUCAUCAUUCCUCAUGUUUAUUUGGCACUCUACGUUGCUCUGUGCCACCCCAGUUCUUGGCGGUAGCCCUGCUCGCUGUCUCACCCAUCUGUUUCCAUUCAUUAGGACAGGAUUCGCUUCUCUGCUCUUCUGACACCUUUUCACAUCGGGCUGCACAAUGUAAUUAAACAGGGUUGUGGGGGGAUGAUUGUUGAGCUGCAGCUACCUCUUUCGUCUUCCAUCUACUUUGACUCUGCCUCAUUUGUUCUCGGAGGGUUGAGCUUGCUCUGUUUUACUUUGUUGGCUGUUUGUAGUGUGUCUGUUUGUAGUGUGUCCAUCUCUGUAGGUGGCACACCUUUUGCAUCAUAGACACAUGGUCUAGUUCUCCACAGUUGCACUUUUUAAGGCCAUUUGCAUUUCAGUUUAUAGAAAGCAAGCCUAUAGUGGACUUGCUGUACAGGUUAAAUGAUGAUGAUAUUGUAUCAGCUCAGUUUAAAGUCCAGCAUUUUAUUUCCCAUGAGAAAAAAAGUCACUUUUAUAAUAUGUGUUGACAGAUUAACACAACAUUUGUGAUUGCAUGUAUGAUUGGAUCUCUCACUUGUUAAAUUCAAAUGUGUGACCACUGCAAUGUAUAAUGAUAUUGGAUAUGUCCUUUCUAUCAAUCCAUACAGAAGUGAGAAAAAUAUUAUGGGUUUAGUCGUUGCAUUGUGCAGUUUGCCUGGUAUCCACACAUUUAUUUUUUCUUCCGGUAUAAAUUACAUUGUCACUUACAGACUGAUUAUUUAGUGUUGGGGAUAAUUGAUGCAUCCAUUAAGUGCUUUGACAGUAUAGAGGCUCAUUAACACACAUAUACGUAUGAUGCACCCACACAGAUGUUUUCAGUUAUUAGAUCUUGAAUUAUUCUGCCUGAUUAUAGCGCUGCUCGUUACUUUGUGGGUGUGUGCAAAUUUUUCUGGUUCAUUUUGCUGUAGAACUCUGUUUGUUUACUUUGCAUUGACAGCUGAUAUAACUGAGGUGUGACUACCAGCUGUGCAAUGUUGGCAACUGGCCCACAAGAGCUGCGCAUUCACUGUGUAGCAGUGCUGAAGUAACUUUGUUUCAGAACAUGAGAAUAUGCACUAACAAAGUACAUUUACUUUAUUGUACAUAUUCAAGUGCGGGGCUGCACAGUGGUUCAGUGGUUAGCAUUGUUGCCUCACAGCUAGAAAAUCCCCGGUUCACAUCCCGGCCUGAGCCUGGGAUCUUUCUGCAUGGAGUUUGCCUCUUCUCCCUGUGCAUGUGUUGGUUUCCUCCCACAGUCUAAAAACAUGCUUUGGUUAAUUGGUGAUUCUAAAUUGUUUGUAGGUGUGAAUGUGAGUGUCAUUGUUUGUCUCUAUGUGUAGUCCUGUGAUAGACUGGUGACCUGUCAAGGUGUCCCAGUCAGCUGGGAUAGGCUCCAGCCCCCCAGCGACUCUAAUGAGGAUUAAGCAGUGUAAAUAUCAAUGGAUGGAUGGUUGUUCAAGUGUAAAAUACAGUGGAUUCUUACUUUAUUAUCUCAUUUUGAGAACAUGUUUUGAAGAGCGACCUUGUGUCAAAAUAAAGUUCUAAACCUUCAUUAUUCAAGCAAAAACUGUGCUCAAGUGGUUCACAUUCCCAAACUGAUGUGUGUAUUUCAGCUUUGAGGAUCUAUACACAAUACUUAGAAGAUAAGUGUAGGGAGGUUUAUGAGACCCACAACCAUUUUUUGCUCCAGGCUACUUGCAAUUUUUGUCAUGGAUGCAAAUCUACAUACGGUUUUAUGCUGAUGGUAUCUGACUGCAAAAUGUUUUUCCACUUGACAUGAUUUAUUUUGAAAAAAUAAAGAAAGGCUCAUGUUGAAGUUAGAA